CAGCCGCCACGGGAAUACGAAGGGGGCUAGCGUUGUUCGGAUUUACUGGGCGUAAAGCGCACGUAGGCGGACUUUUAAGUCAGGGGUGAAAUCCCGGGGCUCAACCCCGGAACUGCCUUUGAUACUGGAAGUCUUGAGUAUGGUAGAGGUGAGUGGAAUUCCGAGUGUAGAGGUGAAAUUCGUAGAUAUUCGGAGGAACACCAGUGGCGAAGGCGGCUCACUGGACCAUUACUGACGCUGAUGUGCGAAAGCGUGGGGAGCAAACAGGAUUAGAUACCCCAGUAGUCCCUGUCUCUUAUAC
rnacentral:rRNA from 1 species